GACGAACGCUGGCGGCGCGCCUAACACAUGCAAGUCGAACGAGCGAGAGAGAGCUUGCUUUCUCGAGCGAGUGGCGAACGGGUGAGUAACGCGUGAGGAACCUGCCUCAAAGAGGGGGACAACAGUUGGAAACGACUGCUAAUACCGCAUAAGCCCGCGGGUCGGCAUCGACCAGAGGGAAAAGGAGCAAUCCGCUUUGAGAUGGCCUCGCGUCCGAUUAGCUAGUUGGUGAGGUAACGGCCCACCAAGGCGGCGAUCGGUAGCCGGACUGAGAGGUUGAACGGCCACAUUGGGACUGAGACACGGCCCAGACUCCUACGGGAGGCAGCAGUGGGGAAUAUUGCACAAUGGGGGAAACCCUGAUGCAGCGACGCCGCGUGGAGGAAGAAGGUCUUCGGAUUGUAAACUCCUGUUGUUGAGGAAGAUAAUGACGGUACU
rnacentral:rRNA from 1 species